UGUUAUGUUGAGUUGUUUCUAAAGCUUCUGAAUAUUAUUUUACAAAAAAUUAUGGUUGUUUCAAAUACGUUUUAUUUUAACGCUUUCGCAUGUUCAAAUGAAUCUAGAGAUUAAGUUUAACAAAACAGAUGGAAUAUCAAUACUAGGGGCUAAAGUUUGUAGUUUAAUCUUCUCCGCGGUAAUAAUUAUGUAACAAUGAAAUCAGAUAAUGCGGAAUAAUAGCAAGGAAUCAAGUUCAAACUUUACCCUUCCCAGUAAAGUGAGAUUAGUUCAAAUUGAAAUUCUAUUUCCUCAGCCCCGAUUAUUACUAAACGGUUCUCUACGUAUAAAUUAUUUCCUAGAAUUGAGUAGCGUAUAAAUAUUUUUCUCCAAUUAAUUGAACGAAGGAAUUAAAGCAGCUUUUGUGAGUGCUAAAUUCGGAGAUGAUUUUUAAAGCUUUUUCAAAGUUUUUUUCUCGACUUCUACUGGAAAAGACUUGUCGACAAAGUCAUUGUCUGCCGUCCAGAAACUCAAUUUAUUCGAUUAGAAAAAGCAGCCCAAAGAAAGAAGAAUAUCUUCACUAUGCUAAUAUUACAGGGUGAUUUUUGUUUUACUCUUUCAUGUGUAUCCAAAGAAAUGUUCUAAUAAAAAUAGUUUCUUAUUUCUUGAA